rnacentral:snoRNA from 1 species
GCAUGGUAACGGAUUUAUGCCGGGCCCUUCUCUGUGGGCCUCUCAUAGUGGACCCAUGCCAGAGUAACCUGCAGCCUCGAACCAUUGCCCAGCCCCUUACCUGUGGGUUGCGAGCACUGAAGGGGGUUGUACAGUG